AGCUCUUUGGAUCCGUGCAGAGAUUUCGUCAGACACCAAUCCAUUAGGGCAGACCAGACUUCCAAAAUAAGUGAAGUU
rnacentral:pre_miRNA from 1 species